rnacentral:rRNA from 1 species
UACAGAGGUCCCAAGCGUUGUUCGGAUUCACUGGGCGUAAAGAGCUCGUAGGCGGCUUGUUGCGUCAGCUGUGAAAACCCGCAGCUCAACUGUGGGCUUGCAGCUGAUACGGGCAGGGCUUGAGUUCGGUAGGGGAGACUGGAAUUCCUGGAUGUAGCGGUGAAAUGCGACAGAUAUCAGGAGGAACACCGAUGGCGAAGGCAGGUCUCUGGGCUGACACAUGACGCUCGAUGACACGAAAGCCGUGGGG